GACGAACGCUGUCGGCGUGCUUAACACAUGCAAGUCGAACGGAAAGGCCCUGCUUUUGUGGGGUGCUCGAGUGGCGAACGGGUGAGUAACACGUGAGUAACCUGCCCUUGACUUUGGGAUAACUUCAGGAAACUGGGGCUAAUACCGGAUAGGAGCUCCUGCUGCAUGGUGGGGGUUGGAAAGUUUCGGCGGUUGGGGAUGGACUCGCGGCUUAUCAGCUUGUUGGUGGGGUAGUGGCUUACCAAGGCUUUGACGGGUAGCCGGCCUGAGAGGGUGACCGGCCACAUUGGGACUGAGAUACGGCCCAGACUCCUACGGGAGGCAGCAGUGGGGAAUAUUGCACGAUGGGCGGAAGCCUGAUGCAGCAACGCCGCGUGCGGGAUGACGGCCUUCGGGUUGUAAACCGCUUUCGCCUGUGACGAAGCGUGAGUGACGGUAAUGGGUAAAGAAGCACCGGCUAACUACGUGCCAGCAGCCGCGGUGAUACGUAGGGUGCGAGCGUUGUCCGGAUUUAUUGGGCGUAAAGGGCUCGUAGGUGGUUGAUCGCGUCGGAAGUGUAAUCUUGGGGCUUAACCCUGAGCGUGCUUUCGAUACGGGUUGACUUGAGGAAGGUAGGGGAGAAUGGAAUUCCUGGUGGAGCGGUGGAAUGCGCAGAUAUCAGGAGGAACACCAGUGGCGAAGGCGGUUCUCUGGGCCUUUCCUGACGCUGAGGAGCGAAAGCGUGGGGAGCGAACAGGCUUAGAUACCCUGGUAGUCCACGCUGUAAACGGUGGGUACUAGGUGUGGGGUCCAUUCCACGGGUUCCGUGCCGUAGCUAACGCUUUAAGUACCCCGCCUGGGGAGUACGGCCGCAAGGCUAAAACUCAAAGGAAUUGACGGGGCCCCGCACAAGCGGCGGAGCAUGCGGAUUAAUUCGAUGCAACGCGUAGAACCUUACCUGGGUUUGACAUGGAUCGGGAGUGCUCAGAGAUGGGUGUGCCUCUUUUGGGGUCGGUUCACAGGUGGUGCAUGCCUGUCGUCAGCUCGUGUCGUGAGAUGUUGGGUUAAGUCCCGCAACGAGCGCAACCCUUGUUCACUGUUGCCAGCACGUUAUGGUGGGGACUCAGUGGAGACCGCCGGGGUCAACUCGGAGGAAGGUGGGGAUGACGUCAAGUCAUCAUGCCCCUUAUGUCCAGGGCUUCACGCAUGCUACAAUGGCUGGUACAGAGAGUGGCGAGCCUGUGAGGGUGAGCGAAUCUCGGAAAGCCGGUCUCAGUUCGGAUUGGGGUCUGCAACUCGACCUCAUGAAGUCGGAGUCGCUAGUAAUCGCAGAUCAGCAACGCUGCGGUGAAUACGUUCCCGGG
rnacentral:rRNA from 1 species